rnacentral:rRNA from 1 species
GGCCUGGCUGGACGGUCCGCCCUUCGGGUGGGUACUGUCUGUGGACGGGUCCUACCUUCUGGCGAAGCGUCAUGGCCUUAACCGGCCGUGGCGGGGAACCAGGACUUUUACUGUGAAAAAAUUAGAGUGUUUAAAGCAAGCUAACGCUUGGAUACAUUAGCAUGGAAUAAUGGAAUAGGACAAUGGUUCUAUUUGUUGGUUCCUAGGACCGUUGUA